UACAGAGGGUGCGAGCGUUGUCCGGAAUCACUGGGCGUAAAGGGCGCGUAGGCGGCUUGAUAAGCGUGCGGUGAAAGCCCGGGGCUCAACCCCGGGUCGGCCGUGCGAACUGUCGAGCUGGAGCACUGUAGAGGCAGGUGGAAUUCCGGGUGUAGCGGUGGAAUGCGUAGAGAUCCGGAGGAACACCAGUGGCGAAGGCGGCUCGCUGGGCUUUUUCUGACGCUGAGGCGCGAAAGCGUGGGGAGCGAACCGG
rnacentral:rRNA from 1 species